rnacentral:rRNA from 1 species
AACAGGAUUAGAUACCCUGGUAGUCCACGCCGUAAACGAUGUCUACUUGGAGGUUGUGGCCUUGAGCCGUGGCUUUCGGAGCUAACGCGUUAAGUAGACCGCCUGGGGAGUACGGUCGCAAGAUUAAAACUCAAAUGAAUUGACGGGGGCCCGCACAAGCGGUGGAGCAUGUGGUUUAAUUCGAUGCAACGCGAAGAACCUUACCUACUCUUGACAUCCAGAGAACUUUCCAGAGAUGGAUUGGUGCCUUCGGGAACUCUGAGACAGGUGCUGCAUGGCUGUCGUCAGCUCGUGUUGUGAAAUGUUGGGUUAAGUCCCGCAACGAGCGCAACCCUUAUCCUUGUUUGCCAGCGAGUAAUGUCGGGAACUCCAGGGAGACUGCCGGUGAUAAACCGGAGGAAGGUGGGGACGACGUCAAGUCAUCAUGGCCCUUACGAGUAGGGCUACACACGUGCUACAAUGGCGCAUACAGAGGGCGGCCAACUUGCGAAAGUGAGCGAAUCCCAAAAAGUGCGUCGUAGUCCGGAUUGGAGUCUGCAACUCGACUCCAUGAAGUCGGAAUCGCUAGUAAUCGUGGAUCAGAAUGCCACGGUGAAUACGUUCCCGGGCCUUGUACACACCGCCCGUCACACCAUGGGAGUGGGCUGCAAAAGAAGUAGGUAGUUUAACCUUCGGGGGGACGCUUACCACUUUGUGGUUCAUGACUGGGGUGAAGUCGUAACAAGGUAGCGCUAGGGGAACCUGGCGCUG